UACUGAAAAGAAAAUUAUACGAAUUCUAGGUUUAAAAAUAUAAAAUUAAAAGAGUUAGCCCCAAAAGCCACAAACUCAGGGCUAAGCCCUGCCGCCAGGAAUAGCAGGCCAUAAAGAUAAAGAAAAGGAAUGCAAGAACCAGCUCAGGCUAUCGAGGACUGAGCCAUAAACCAUCCAAAGACAUCCCCCCAGCUUACUCAGAGUCAUACUUUAACCAGAUGUCCUCCAGACCCUGAUAAGCCCCUACUUGUGCUUUUCAGCCAUUGUGUCCUACAGAGAGCAUUCCAAGAAACCGGACAGCCCAAGCCUAACCAGAGGUGUUUCAAAUACAAAUGCUCCAUCAAUUUUGACAAACUUUUAAAAAUAAUGAGGACCUAAAGACCCUACCCUUCUCCUGAUUUAGUAGCUCUGUUCCAGGAACCAGGGGGCCAUAAAACCUUCUGGCGUCCCCUUAUCUCCUGGAGCCAUAAAACAAUCUUGUAACUUGUGGUACAUUCCCCUUUGACAUCCCCCAUCCCCUGGUGCUCACAGCCUCUGCCUUUAAAUACUCUUUUUCCCAGCCUCUCGGGGUCGACACCUCUGUCUCCUGCGCGGGAUACGUGUCGGCCCGGAGAUCUCUGUAAUAGGUCUCCGUAAUAAACCUCGCCUUUGCUUAUUACAUCCAAAAUGGUCUCUCUGUGUCUGGGGUCCGCGAUUUCCCAAGACUUGAGUAAGGGUCUCUCUGCGUGGGAUCUUUCAUAUUUAUGGGGGCUCGUCCGGGAUCUGCGCGACUACCCCAGACUCCGAAGACCCCUUGGAGUAACUGUUACAGGUCUUCUUUACCACCGAGGAAAGACGGAAUCCUACUAGAGGCCAGAAAAAGUGUUCCAGAGAUGGAUGGAAGGCCCUCACUUCUGCCUGCUCUCUUCAGACGCCUGAAGGUAGGGAGUGCUCCAGGUCUGCCGCCAGACUCCAAGGGUGGGUCUCUGAGGGGCUGGAAAAUGCCCCACCAAUCUGGCUAAGAUAAGGAAAGGAUAUAAAGAGAAUGUUACAAAAAUUUGAAGGGUUAAGUUAAGUUGCUGAGAGUUAGUGUAAGUUACAGAGAAAGUAAGGUUAAAAAAGAAAGAGAUAAAAAGAACAGAAAGCUAGAGAAGAAAAGAGACAAAAAAAAAAAAAGAAGUUAGAGAGCUAAAGAGAGAUAAAAGACAAGAGAGGAACAUAUACUGGCCACAGUAGUUAGGGAACCUAGGAAGAUAGUACCUGACAACAGAAGAGAAUUCCUGGCUAAAGAUCAGUGUGCCUAAUACGAAGAAAAAGGACAUUGGGUCAGGGACUGCCCCAAAAAGAACAAGAGGGGACACUGGAGAGCCUCUUGGUGCUGGCUAUGCACAGAGAUGGAAGGGAAGCCCGCCCAGUUGUUUUGUGGAUACAGGGACCCAAUGCUCUGUGCUCCUAUGCUCCAGUGGGCCAGUAUCCAAAGACCUUGGGUACAGGGGCCUACUGACAACAAACAAUACUAUGGACUGCCCGAAGAACAGUGGACCUUGGCGUGGGCCGGGUAACCCACCCACUAAUUCAUGGUCAUCCCUGACUGCCCCUAUCCCUUGCUCAUGAGAAAAUUGCUCUCCAAAUUGGCUUGCGUGGGCUAAAAUGGCUAGAUGAGGCUAUGUAUAUACAUAUCUAUAGACUGUGUAUGUGGAGCUUAAGACCUGUCUCAGUGCACCAGUAACUGAUGCUGGGAGAUGAAUGGCUUAGUGCUUUUCUGCUUGGAACACAUCACUCCUGCCAGCCGGGAACUAACAAUUAUCACCCAAUCCAGGACUUAAACUGUGAUAGAGUGGCUGAUAGAGUGUCCAAAGAUGGGACCACUGGUCAGCUGCCAUGGACUAGAUUCUCCACCGGUUGGGGACAAUCUGGUCACCUUGCUGCCCAAUCCGGACCUGGAGCCACCACAGCACGAGUGUCAAACACUGACAGAAGCACAUGGGUGGAGGAAAGACCUCUGUGACUGGCUGAUUGACCCCUGCUGAAAGCCGAGGACCUUGUCCACAGACGGGAACAGUUCUCUUCAUGAAUGAAGAUACCUUUCCAGGGAUAGAUAGAAGCUUUCCUCACCAAACGAGAGACGGCCUCUACAAUCAUCAAGAAGAUACUGGAAAAAAUCUUCCCCAGGUCUGGAAUGCCCAAGGUAAUCUGGUCUGACAGCGGCCCUACUUUCGUUGCCAAGGUAAGCCAGGGUGUGGCCAAGUAUUUAGAGGUCGAUUAGAAAUUACAUUAUAUUUACAGACCUCAAAGUUCAGGACAGGUAGAGUAAAUAAAUAAAAUUUUUAAAGAGAUCCUGAACAGAUUGACCAUGGAGACUGGCACAGACUGGGUGACACUCCUUCCCUCUUGCUCUCUUCAGAGCAAGAAAUACCCCUUCCAGAUUCAGCCUUAUCCCCUUUGAGAUCUUAUAUGGGGCCUCAGCUCCCCUGACUGUAUUAGAUGAUGUUACUGAACCAACAUGUCAUAGUAAUAAUGAUUUGUGUGCCAGGCUAAAAGACCUACAGGUGAUACAGAAAGAAAUCUGCUCACAGCUGACAGCAGCCUAUGCCCCGGAGACCCCUGAGACAUCCCAUCAGUUCCAGGUCGGAAGCAGCUACACUGAGCCCAGACACUCGAGCCUCGCUGGAAAGGACCGUACCUGGUGCUGCUGACCACCCUGACAGCCGUCAAUUCUCAGCCCUCACCAGCCAUGUACUUACUAGCUGUUAGGGCUGAGAGCUGGGACCUAGAGGGAAAUUCAGUCAUGUUUGUCCUGGGUUCCAUCGAGAUAGGUGUGGGGAUAGGCUUGAUUUCUAUUACAAAUGAUGUAACAUUACAUAUGUUAGUACUCCUAACACUUCUUGGGAUUGUGCCUCAGGGAUCACAACCUAUAUAAGUUUAGAAGUUCUAAAAGACAGUCAUGACCUUGGUGUAUAGGUUCAGAUAGUGUCCAGAUUAGAAUCCUGAUGCUAAAGACUUUUUAGCUGACCUCCAAAAAUACCUAACCUCCCUCUCAGAGGUAGUCCUUCAAAAUAAAAAAAGAUUAGACCUGAUAUUCCUUAAAGAAGGAGCCUGUGUGCUACACUGAAAGAAUGUUGCUUCUAUACAGACCAUUCAGGAGUAAUUAAAGACUCCAUAAAUAAACUUAGAAAAAGGUUAGACAAAAGACAGACAGAAAAACACAUCAGAGAUAGUUCGAGAGCUAGUUUAGUAGAUCUCCCUGGAUGACUACCCUACUCUCUGCUACAGCUGGGCCAUUAUUAAUAAUUUUCUUGGUUUUAGUUUUUGGCUCCUGCGUGACAAACAGGUUAAUUGCUUUUGUUAAAAAUCGAGUGGGUGCUGUGCGGUUGAUGUCCUGAGACAACAGUACCAGUCAGUUAAGACAACUGGUGAGACCAAAUACGAGACUUGAUAUCAAAAUUCUAAGAUUAGAAUUAUUUAGUAGGAGAAGACGGGAAUGAAAAGAAAAUUAUACGAAUUCUAGGUUUAAAAAUAUAAAAUUAAAAGAGUUAGCCCCAAAAGCCACAAACUCAGGGCUAAGCCCUGCCGCCAGGAAUAGCAGGCCAUAAAGAUAAAGAAAAGGAAUGCAAGAACCAGCUCAGGCUAUCGAGGACUGAGCCAUAAACCAUCCAAAGACAUCCCCCCAGCUUACUCAGAGUCAUACUUUAACCAGAUGUCCUCCAGACCCUGAUAAGCCCCUACUUGUGCUUUUCAGCCAUUGUGUCCUACAGAGAGCAUUCCAAGAAACCGGACAGCCCAAGCCUAACCAGAGGUGUUUCAAAUACAAAUGCUCCAUCAAUUUUGACAAACUUUUAAAAAUAAUGAGGACCUAAAGACCCUACCCUUCUCCUGAUUUAGUAGCUCUGUUCCAGGAACCAGGGGGCCAUAAAACCUUCUGGCGUCCCCUUAUCUCCUGGAGCCAUAAAACAAUCUUGUAACUUGUGGUACAUUCCCCUUUGACAUCCCCCAUCCCCUGGUGCUCACAGCCUCUGCCUUUAAAUACUCUUUUUCCCAGCCUCUCGGGGUCGACACCUCUGUCUCCUGCGCGGGAUACGUGUCGGCCCGGAGAUCUCUGUAAUAGGUCUCCGUAAUAAACCUCGCCUUUGCUUAUUACAUCCAAAA